rnacentral:rRNA from 1 species
CGACGGGUGAGUAACGCGUAUGCAACUUGCCUAUCAGGAGGGGAUAACCCGGCGAAAGUCGGACUAAUACCGCAUGAAGCAGGGAUCCCGCAUGGGAAUAUUUGCUAAAGAUUCAUCGCUGAUAGAUAGGCAUGCGUUCCAUUAGGCAGUUGGCGGGGUAACGGCCCACCAAACCGAUGAUGGAUAGGGGUUCUGAGAGGAAGGUCCCCCACAUUGGUACUGAGACGCGGUCCAA